rnacentral:rRNA from 1 species
UACGUAGGGGGCAAGCGUUGUCCGGAUUUAUUGGGCGUAAAGAGCGUGUAGGCGGCCUGGUAGGUCAGCUGUGAAAACUCGAGGCUCAACCUCGAGACGUCGGUUGAAACCACCUGGCUAGAGUCCGGAAGAGGAGAGUGGAAUUCCCGGUGUAGCGGUGAAAUGCGCAGAUAUCGGGAAGAACACCGGUGGCGAAGGCGGGUCUCUGGGCCGAUACUGACGCUGGGGCGCGAAAGCGUGGGGAGCAAACAGG